UAUCCUAUUCGUUGCACAACAUUUACUAGAGAUAAAUAUAGUGCAGGUAGACCUUGCAUUUGCUUCUGAUGAUACCCUUCAGAACUGACCUUCAGUUCUCCUGUAAUCUCAUUGCAGGGUCUUACUUGGGCAGAAGUUACCAAAUUGUACUAAAUUAUAGUGAGCUGUGGUGGUCUGGAGAUAACAAGAAUCUAUACAAUACACAAAUGCACCACCAAGGUGUGACGUUUCUGAGUUUGUUGGUGUUUAUGCUCUGAAUGAGUUAACAGAUUAGAUCUUCUGAACGUUCUUUCUCUGGGUCUCUCAUACAGAAGUGAGUACAACCAUAUUGUAUCAGUUGUUAUAUUUGCCACAGACCAAAUGAAUAUCCUUUUAACUCUUUACAGGAUGUCUAAAUUGAGAUUAAGAAAGGAUUUUGGUGUUCAUGCAGUUACUGAACGGUCUGGUUGUCAUUUCAUUUGCAAGGGAAAAAAAAAAAGAAAAAAAAUAAUUAGAACUUGGGUAUAAUUUUUAUAUUGGAGUGUGCUGUAACUUCUAACACACCAUAAAAAGGCAAUGGGUAUG
rnacentral:lncRNA from 1 species